UACGAAGGGGGCUAGCGUUGCUCGGAAUUACUGGGCGUAAAGCGCACGUAGGCGGUCUUUUAAGUCGGGGGUGAAAUCCUGGAGCUUAACUCCAGAACUGCCUUCGAUACUGGAAGACUUGAGUCCGGGAGAGGUGAGUGGAACUGCGAGUGUAGAGGUGAAAUUCGUAGAUAUUCGCAAGAACACCAGUGGCGAAGGCGGCUCACUGGCCCGGUACUGACGCUGAGGUGCGAAAGCGUGGGGAGCAAACAGG
rnacentral:rRNA from 1 species